rnacentral:rRNA from 1 species
GGCCGCGGUAUUUUGACCGUGCUAAGGUAGCGUAAUCAUUUGUCUUUUAAAUUAAGACCUGUAUGAAUGGUGGAACGAGGGCUAAACUGUCUCCUUUUUCAAGUCAGUGAAAUUGAUCUGCCCGUGCAGAAGCGGACAUAAACAUACAAGACGAGAAGACCCUAUGGAGCUUUAAGAUACAAAGAUCAAGUAUGUAAAAAUUACAUGAAAUGGAUAUAAAACAUAGUAUUUACUGAUUUUCAUCUUCGGUUGGGGCGACCGUGGGGAAAACAAAACCCCCAUGUGGAAAAGGAAAAACCUAUAAUAUAAGAGGGACACCUCUAAGUCUCAGAAAAUCUGACCUAAAAGAUCCGGCUAAUUAGCUGAUUAACGGACCAAGUUACCCUAGGGAUAACAGCGCAAUCCCCUCCAAGAGCCCAUAUCGACGAGGGGGUUUACGACCUCGAUGUUGGAUCAGGRCAUCCUAAUGGUGCAGCCGCUAUUAAGGGUUCGUUUGUUCAACGAUUAAAGUCCUAC